rnacentral:tRNA from 1 species
GCCCUUAUAGCUCAGUCAGGUCUAGAGCGGCUGUUUCGUGAACAGCAGGUCCUCGGUUCGAAUCCGAGUGGGGGCU